GGAAGAGCUCUCAGAUCCUGAAAGAUUCCUGUGGAUCAAGGUCUGGUGAUGGCAGAAGAGGAAGCAAGGGCAUUACCUUCUGCAUGAUGGUCAGCUUAUGGGACGGGCAUAUUUUGACCUACACUGCAAUGUUAGUGAGGUUGUGAUUCAACCCAGAGCCAUGUGGACGCCCUCCCAGCUGGCAUCCCCAGGCAACACCAUGCUGCCCUUGGUGCCAUUUGCCUCCUGAACUCCAAGGACUAUCUCCUGGCUCACAGCUGGGCAGGCUCCCACUCAGAGCUGCUGCACUUGGCAGGCUCACUGGCAGCAGCACUCACCUGCACCUAAGUGAGGGCACGAGGCCCAGAUGCCUACUAGACCUGGUUGGUCCUGGCAGGAGACAGGAUGGACAGGAAUGUCAAGCCUUUGUCCACAGGCAGCAAGCAGAUUGCAUGGGCACAGCCAUGCCGUGGUGAAGAACUGAAGGCCCAGCAGUGCCUGCUGACAGCUCCAGCUCAACAGGGGGUGGGGGAUUUCCCUGCAGCAGCCCCAAACCAUGGAUCCAGAGCAGUGCUUGUGGUGUGAACUCUUGACUCACGGAAUGAACCUCUGCGGUGCAAUGGUGAGGGCUUGCCAAGAUAUCUCCUGCAACUCAUUACCCAAAGAAGAGAAGUACCACAUAUUUACUUCUCCCCUUCUGAUCUGUGAGAUGCCACUGCAGUGAUUACAACUUUUUUUUCCUGUUUUGUUUUUUUCUCUGAAUGUGUGAAUGCACUCAAUUCAAGGUUAACCUCUUCAUUAAGUCACACAAGUCUGACAAAGAGUUUAAAUCACCACGGAGAGCAAAACAGUCACCUGCCCUAGCCAAAAAACCUGAGGCUGUGCAGAUUCUUCUCCCAGUCCCUGCAGAGCAGCUCCCAAUGGUGCUGGGUUGCUCGCUGUGGAUCUGGUGGCAGUGUUGUGUCCUUGGAGCCCAGCUCAUGCUGCUCCUACUGCCAUUCGUUGUGAGUGCUGUGCAGAGGGCUGUGAACGAGGGCUGCUGUGUGGUGUUCCAUCACAUCCACACAUCUUGGUGUCCCCACGGUGUGAGCGUGGCCGGUGUGACUUUGGGGCUCCUCCUGAGGCAGUGCUGGUCUAAAAACACUGAUGAAAAGCUGAUUAAUCCUUGUAAGCGAGCAGCGAUAGCUUCUCUCCAGAACUGAAGAGAUUACCACUGAUUUGUCAUCCUGAUUGUUUCAAAGAGAGGUGCAAUUAGUUGCUCUAAUUUAGCUCGCUGAGUGGCAUGACAACUGAGAUGUAAUCAGGAGUUCCGCACACAACGCAGCCACCGAUGGGUGCAGCUGUGCCCACCACCAUUUUGCACGCUGAGGGUGGGCUCAAAAUGGUGGAGCACUGUGUGCUUGUGCCCCUCCAGCUGCAUCAGCCAAAGUGUGUGUGCUCGACUCU